CAAUAAAUAUUAGGCCAUCCAUUUUUUUUCUUUCACUUAAUUCUUCUCCUCCUUUCUUUCCUCAGGGCCCUGUGCUGUGGGAGCACCUCUCACCUGGCCGGUUUUUGUUACCGCUGCAUGACGCUUGGGAGGUAGAAGGAACUGGAACUUGGAGGAGUGACUGUGGAGCACAGCACAGAGUGGGACUUGAGGGAAGCCACACUGUAUACAGAGAAGGAAGCUUCCGGUUGCAGAAAGUCGCUUGGGAAGACUGUGCAUGGAUGAGAUGCUUCUUGCUGAGAAGGGGACCAGCACAGCCCACCGUGUUGGGACUCGGGCAGAGAUCAAUAUGGCCUCAGAAACACCAGAGCAAAUGACUUCUCUCAAAUGCCAUCAAAGGUCACUGGAACCUUUCCUGUUUGGAUGGGGACACUCUCUGUUCGACAACCUAGAGCAUGUCACGGGCCUGCUGCCUGCUGCCUUGGGUUCCAACCACAAGAGCAUGAUUGAUCAUCAGUUAGAGGACACUGGGUACAAACUCCCUCAGGACUCAGCUGUGUGGAAUUAAUCGAAUACCAUGAUGAGUCUGAUUCAUCAUUCUCCAAAAAGGGGGUGGGAGUGGGGAAUGGCACAAAACACACCCAGAGCUUGAUGCAUGACGUCUCGUGGAGGUAAACUGCAAUUUAUACUCAGGAUCCUGGUGGUUACAGGCUGUGCAUGUGCUAUUUGGUUGCAGUUCUACACAAAUAUCCAGGGAACAAAGUAUCUUUGAAUCUUUCCUUCAUUCUAUUAUUCUUUCAAGGAAGAAGAUUGUUGGU